AUGUUUUCUGUAGCUCUGCUGCUGCUGCUGGCAGCUGGAUGUGUGAAGUGUGAACAGUUGACACAGCCAGCCUCUGUGACUGUGCAGCCAGGUCAGAGUCUGACCAUCACCUGUCAGGUCUCUUAUUCUGUUAGCAGCUAUGCUACAGCCUGGAUCAGACAGCCUGCAGGGAAAGGACUGGAGUGGAUACUAAGCGGAUGUUCUGGAUGCACCACAAGCUAUAAAAAUUCCCUGAAGAACAAGUUCAGUUUUUAUUCUUCCAGCAACACAGUGACUCUGAACGGACAGAAUAUGCAGACUGCAGACACUGCUGUUUAUUAUUGUGCCAGAGACCCACAGUGACACAGGAGGAAGUAACACUGUACAAAA